rnacentral:rRNA from 1 species
GACGAACGCUGGCGGCGUGCCUAAUACAUGCAAGUCGAGCGAAGUUUUUCUGGUGCUUACACUAGAAAAACUUAGCGGCGAACGGGUGAGUAACACGUAAAGAACCUGCCUCAUAGACUGGGACAACUAUUGGAAACGAUAGCUAAUACCGGAUAACAGUAUUUCUCGCAUGAGAGAUAUUUAAAAGUUGGUUAUGCUAACACUAUGAGAUGGCUUUGCGGUGCAUUAGCUAGUUGGUGGGGUAAAGGCCCACCAAGGCGACGAUGCAUAGCCGACCUGAGAGGGUGAUCGGCCACACUGGGACUGAGACACGGCCCAGACUCCUACGGGAGGCAGCAGUAGGGAAUCUUCCGCAAUGGGCGAAAGCCUGACGGAGCAACGCCGCGUGAGUGAAGAAGGAUUUCGGUUCGUAAAGCUCUGUUGUUAGGGAAGAAUGGAUAUGUAGUAACUAUACAUGUAAGAGACGGUACCUAACCAGAAAGCCACGGCUAACUACGUG